CCUACGGGAGGCAGCAGUGAGGAAUAUUGGUCAAUGGACGAGAGUCUGAACCAGCCAAGUCGCGUGAAGGAUGACUGCCCUAUGGGUUGUAAACUUCUUUUAUAAAGGAAUAAAACGAGGCACGUGUGCCUUUUUGCAUGUACUUUAUGAAUAAGGAUCGGCUAACUCCGUGCCAGCAGCCGCGGUAAUACGGAGGAUCCGAGCGUUAUCCGGAUGUAUUGGGUUUAAAGGGAGCGUAGAUGGGUUGUUAAGUCAGUUGUGAAAGUUUGCGGCUCAACCGUAAAAUUGCAAUUGAUACUGGCAGUCUUGAGUACAGUUGAGGUAGGCGGAAUUCGUGGUGUAGCGGUGAAAUGCUUAGAGAUCACGAAGAACCCCGAUUGCGAAGACAGCUUACUAAACUGUGACUGACAUUGAUGCUCGAAAGUGUGGGUAGCAAACAGGAUUAGAUACCCCAGUAGUC
rnacentral:rRNA from 1 species